CAGUCGCCGCGGUAAUACAGAGGAUGCAAGCGUUAUCCGGAAUGAUUGGGCGUAAAGCGAGCGCAGGCGGUUAGAUAAGUCUGAAGUUAAAGGCUGUGGCUUAACCAUAGUACGCUUUGGAAACUGUUUAACUUGAGUGCAAGAGGGGAGAGUGGAAUUCCAUGUGUAGCGGUGAAAUGCGUAGAGAUGUGGAGGAACACCAGUGGCGAAGGCGACUCUCUGGUCUGUAACUGACGCUGAGGAGCGAAAGCGUGGGGAGCGAACAGGAUUAGAUACCCCCGUAGUCCCUGUCUCUUAUACA
rnacentral:rRNA from 1 species